rnacentral:lncRNA from 1 species
GCAGUGGUUGAGUCUUAUAUUUACAAUGUUGCAGUGUUUGAAUCUUAUAUUUACAAUGUCACAGUGGUUGAAUCUUAUAUUUACAAUGUUGCAGUGGUUGAAUCUUACAUUUACAAUGUUGCAGUGGUUGAAUCUUAUAUUUACAAUGUUGCAGUGGUUGAAUCUAUAUUUACAAUGUUGCAGGGGUUGAAUCUUAUAUUUACAAUGUUGCAGUGGUUGAAUCUUAUAUUUACAAUGUUGCAGUGGUUGAAUCUUAUAUUUACAAUGUCACAGUGGUUGAAUCUUAUAUUUACAAUGUUACAGUGGUUGAAUCUUAUAUUUACAAUGUUGCAGUGGUUGAAUCUUAUAUUUACAAUGUUGCAGUGGUUGAAUCUUACAUUUACAAUGUUG